UACGUAGGGGGCUAGCGUUGUCCGGAAUCAUUGGGCGUAAAGCGCGUGUAGGCGGUCCGGUAAGUCCGCUGUGAAAGUCGGGGGCUCAACCCUCGAAUGCCGGUGGAUACUGUCGGGCUAGAGUGCGGAAGAGGCGAGUGGAAUUCCCGGUGUAGCGGUGAAAUGCGUAGAGAUCGGGAAGAACAUCGGUGGCGAAAGCGCUCUACUGGACCGCAACAGACACUCAGGGACGAAAGCUAGGGGAGCGAAUGGG
rnacentral:rRNA from 1 species